ensembl:lncRNA
AUUUGCAACGACGGGGAGAUCCUUCCGUCCGAUUUGAAUGCUGCGAUGCGUGGAACGAAGCGGCGUUCAGCCAGUUGUGCUGCUUUCUGCAUGCUUGAGAGCGCGCUACCCGUACGGACAUGUUUGUUUACACUUUCCGCCACCCUUCGAGGAAAGGAGUGCCCGUAUAUUGGUGUUUUGCGGGCGUGCACUAAUGCGGGCGCACCCAGACAACAACCUGAGUAUCUUCGGGAUCGCGAGUUCAGGGAAACAAAGAGGCUUCAACGGACGCGUUUGAAAAGCUAUUUAUUUUGAAAUGGUAAAAUGUAAAAUGUAGGCAUUAAAGAUUUAACAACAUGAAUGCCUCAUGUCAUUCAAACGCUAAACACAAGAAUAAAUGUGCUAAAUUUGGCUCCUCUGGAGUAGGAGUAGACUUGUUGUUCUCGGGUUAUUUCAAAGCUCAAAGGUUUGCCUUCAAAAUGUACCACGGAAAAAUGGAUUUUCUUGCCUUUCUUUCAUACAGCACUACUUAUAUAUAUAUAUAUAUAUAUUUACAUGUGCAUUCACUAGGAAGACUACAUUUACUACUUUCAUAAGUUGCUAUUGGAAAAUCUGUUUUAGCUUACAUCGAUUACAACCCCCCCCCCUCCUUGAUUGAAUAACAUGCCCAUGAUUGAGGGGCGCAGUGCAGCACAUGAAGUAUCAAUGGAGCCAUUCCUCUCUCUUUCCUGCAGGCUUCAGCUGCUCGACGAUGCCGUCGGACAGACUCGUUGGACUGUUAGUGGCCAGUCAGCAAGUCAUUAAUUACGCGGCCGACUGGGCCGACACUCGCUGAUUGGAAUGAGAAACCCCGGUAAAGUAGACGGCUACACAUUUCCCUCGUAGCGCCGGCAUCCGUUACUCCGCUGGAUACAAUGACAAGAAUUCAGUGAUCAGAAGAUGCAGGAAGAUGGAGUAAGGUGUUCUUCUUCACCCGUACAAUAGCAUACGUCGUGUGUAGAUUGAUAUCGGGUAACAUGUGAACUUACUGUCAACAUAUUAAUUAAGUUCACUGGGGAUGAAUGAAUCAAUACAUUUGUUUGGCAGCACUCACUGUGGCUCACGAUAUCCGGCGUUGAAUUUAACAGUAAAAGAUACUCAAUGAGAUUAACAGAUGUUAACUUUUCUAACUAUGUGAUUAGAACACCGGCUCGCUGUGGUUGUAUGCUGGUGAUUUAUGGACUGUGGGAUAUUUUGUGAACUGAUAAUCAAAGCUCAACGGCGAUCUGUUGGGAAUUAAGUGGCGGCAGGAAGUGAGGAAGUGCAGCGCUGAGCGGAGUGCAAGAAAACUCAGGCCGCCGCCGAUAAUUGUGUUGGCUUGGUCAUGGAGAGUAGAGAAAACGGUUGAUUUAAAUCAAAAACAAUAUCCAAGAAUUCACACGGUUUACUGCACAAAGUUAGAUGGAUGCCAACGGUUUUGAUCAUUUGAAAAAAACAACUGAACCUGAAAUUUGGUCUUUCUGUGGUUCAAUAUCAUCUUGACUCCGUUCUUAAAUUCUUUUAAAUUAAGUAUCUAUUUUCAUCCUUCACUAAAAUAUAUGUAUAUAUAUAUUUUUUUUGAUAUUUGAGGGUUACGAAUUUUCAGGCGCAGCUUUUAUAUUUUCAGAUUCACUUCCGUAUUUUUUCUCCCUUUUGGCCCCGAUCCGCCGUAGGGGGCGGGGCAUCAAGUGAUAGCGGCGUGUAAUCACGAGGGACACCUUAACAAAGGCUGAAAAUCUUCCUCAACCGGUUUGCCUUCAGCAAACGUAGGCACCGCUUUACUUCCUUUUACUAAGAAAAUCGCCCACGAUUAUUCAGAAUAAAAAAAAUAUAUAUAUAUGUUAUAAUCUCUAGACUUUAGAAUUUGUAUUUUACCCCCUUUUAUUUUUUCACCCUGUAUCUAAUCCCUUUGCCUUGCUCCUCUGGCCUCCCCGAGCUCAUCCCGACUUGUCACAUCCUUUUUGGGGUCACUUCACAUGGAGGCCGGCAGCAGGAGACCUCCCCAGGUUCUAAAAACAGAUGUGACAGGCCUAUUAAAGUGAGUGAUCUCCACCGGCCUGCUCUGCUCUGCCGCUGGAGCCACAACGGGUACUAAGCUGUCUUCCCCGGGGCUCCGCGGACGGGAGCAGCGGGCCGCAAAAGGCCCCUAAGAUAAGGUGACAGCGGCACAUAGCUGGCAUUGUGGCAGCUCCCAGAAUUAUCUCCUGAUGAGGUUUUCAAUUUUAGGGAGGGCAGUUGAAUCCCAAGCUCCUGAAGCCUGAAGGCUGUCUGAGAUAAACACGGUGCACAUGAGAAAAUGAGAAGCGUGGAGGAGCACAACAAUGUCUGAAACAUAUUCGUUUUUAGAUCAUAACCCAUUUAAGUACUCGAAUUAACCGCAAUGUAAAUCCAUCGGUAGGAAACAUUAAGCUCGGGGCGAACACACGACCACCAAACGGCGCACAAAGAUUUAUUUUGUACCGUUUUGCAUCUGCAGCAGCGUUGCGGUGUCAUCUUCUUUCCUCCUCCGCCAGAUGAAACAAGUCACAGCAGUAACUCCCUCCAGGCCGCGGCAUCAAGGUUAAUCCUGUGUGCAAGGAAAUAAUAAUACUAGCGUGGUGGGAAGGUCGAUAAGUUGGAUAUUAAUGUGAAUCUCUUAUUCCAACGUUAGGUCAGACACUCUACGUCUUUGUACGAAAGAUUGCUCUAAGUCAGGUAUUCAAUACUAAUUAGCUUCAUGCACAAUUAAACAAGUGCUGGUUUAUCGAAGGUGCCAAACGGCGGCGGGCAGUGAACGUAAAAUACUGUACAAAUACGGCUAAAGUGCCCACACAGCUCUUUUGGACUUGACAUGUAGUAUAUCAGUGUUCCAUAAAAAAAAGUAGGGACAAAAACGGAAAUCAACACUGAGGGAAAAAAGUAAAAUGUCAAAAACAGCAAUUUAUAUUCCUUUGAAGAGCGACACCAGGGGCUUCCAUCCAACCUCUGCCAAAUCUCUCAUAAAAACAAAUCAAAGUGCUUCUAACAUUCCUCUUCAGCACCUUGGUCCAUGUUUGAAUUGUAAAUGUCUUGGCACGAGGUGAAGAGGGAGCUGCUGUUCCAGAAUCAUCCAUUCUGUUGGAAGGGCUGCCAGAACGCGUGAGAGGGUCUUCCUCGGAGGGCCGAGGCUCCGAGCCGCUGUCUGCUGCCAUCCACCUUCAUCAGCGUCUCGCUCGCCGAAAAGACGCAACACAAACACCGUUAACAGGAAAUCAGAGGGACUGGCCGUAUGCGGCUUCUCUUCAGGCCGCUUUGGAGGACACUCAAACACCUGCAUCUUACUUUUUUCACAAUAAAACGCUCGCAUGAGCAACCAUACCAAAAAAAUCAUCCUCAUUUACCUCGACGAGACGUGUUUUACGUGUAGACGACCCGUGCGGUUUCUCUGCAAAAGGAAAAACGGGACGACGGAGGACGACGGAGGACGAGUGCGCCGGAGACGAGGGCUUGUCUCGGUGGGGCGGUGGAGGGAGCGACACAGGUGAUGGAAGCUAAACUAGCAUGAAACUGCCUUCCGUCACGGAUUACCGAGGCCGCGCCUUUCAUUACAAGAUAUUUAGGGCAACAGGAGGUGUUUGGAAGGCACGAGAUCCAUGCAAACCAUUUGCCCUGAGAUCCCAUGUGUGUGUGUGUGUGUGUGUGUGUGUGUGUGUGUGUGUGUGUGUGUGUGUGUGUGUGUGGGUGUGUGUGGGAGUGUAAAUGGUGCAGAAAGAAAAUGAAUUGUGUUGGGAUGUGGCGGCUGAGAUAUGCUAUAUUGUCUAUUUCACAGUCGCAUGAGUUUGCUGACUGGAUUGUUCGAGGGUGUUUUUGACGAGGGCGCGUCUACGCUGAAGAAUGCAGAUAGGAUCAUUUCACGGCGUAGCGUGUGGCUGCUUUUAAACCCCUUUGUGACCUGCGGAUGAUCUCGAUCAUCUAAACCGACGAGUGUGCUGUACGUGCACGUUAUCGCUCAUCUGUGAGGGUUCUUAGUCACACAGGACGUUGCGUCUAUUUAAUGUAACUCGACUGAUUUUUUCAGAUUUCAUCUAGAUUCAUGAUUCAAUACAAGUAGUCCACAUUUUUGGACUUAACAAGAGAACUGUUUUGUAAAUUGAUGACAUAGUAAUUAACAUGAUACGUAGGAAUUUGUAAGGAUAUCAAUAGGAGAUUUGAUACAGUUCAUUUCAGAUGAGAUUAGGAAAUCACGGCUCACAACUUCCCCAGGAAAGAAUGUCUUCCUCUCUAUCCUUACUCUGUAGCAUGUGGCGGCCUUAUGCAUACACACCGUUUUAAAUUGUGACUCAUAGUGCUGAGGGAAUAUUUGGAAGAGCCCUAAGACAUGGAAAUGAGUUUUGAGACAGUCACCUUUGUUAGAAUGCCUGCAAUAAAGAGAGCUUUAUUAUCUAUUUCUUGAAGCAUCAUUUUUACCCUCCUAUUAAACAUUGAAGUGGAAAAGGUCCAACCUUAUUCCCUCCUUUCAUAUAUCCUGUCUGAUUGUGAACAAUGGCUGCGACCCGUGGGGAGGAACAGCAACGUGCCACCAAUAUGAAAAACAACCAUGUCCUCCGUUCCUCCCUCACCCUUUUUGCUUUUAAUGUCACCAGUCUAUGUACGUGGGCGCGAGGCGUGUUGGCCGCGUGUGUGCAUGAGCUUCCAAUCAGUGGAGGAUGCGGACGGCCCGCCGCACCGGGCUGCUUGCAGGCAGCCAUCUGUCAGCUGACGCUCAAGCGCCGCGGCAAUCAGAACGCGCUGCAGCGGGUCCAAUCUGUUCCACCACAGGUAGGGCUGUGGGAGGGUCGCCGCCGCUCGACACACUCUCUAUCUUUUGAUUUUCUUCCCUCCAAUCCCUCCUUCUGUGACAUCAUCGUUUCCUCUUUAGUCGGCGUUGAUUUGCUCUUUGGGCCCAGACACGGUUACAUGAAACCUUCACUAUACUGACCUCCAUCAUUGAUGCCUAAAAUAACAAAUAUCAGUGGGUGUACCAGGGUAUUUAGAGGGGAAAUCAAAAGGGCUUGUUCUCACGUGCUGAGCCACCUGCACUGCUUCUCUUCCUGGCGGGGGCAUCACGCACCGUGUGCCCUAAUGACGGCGGCAUGCUAAGUGCGGUGCAUCAGUGGUCACUGCAGCCUGCUAAAUGACCCCCCCCCGUGUGCUUCAGCCAUGGCGGCCAGGACUCUCCUUCUCCGGGCCUCUCUGUUGGCCAAAGGCCCAACUGUAAAUCUGAUCAGAGCCGUGCUAAUGGCAGAAGGCGGCCAUCCCGGCCCGAGCGCCGGUCGUGGCCAAGAAGCCUGAGGCGGUGGAGGUAACGUCCUGAGCUCAGAUCCAAUGAAUUAUUGAACCGGUCCCAGAACAGAGCUUCAGGAGACCCAUUUAGAUUUGUUAAGCCGCUGAAACAGAUGUGAAAAUGAGUUUUCUGUCACAAUCCCAGCAGCCCCAGUUUAAGGUAUAAGAUAUAUUUUGUGACGUUUUUGAUUGCUUGGCUAGUUUGAUUCUGGAGGAGCUUCACCGACUUAACACCUAGUAAUAGUUGUUGCUCACUAUUUUUCUUUUUUAUGCUUGGGUUUAAUUGUGUUCCUGUAGCUCUGUGGUGUCUGUUUCUCAAGGGUCUGAAGCUGUAAUCUUUCAUUGUUCCAGUCAUUUUAGGUGCUGAUGUCUCCGUUAACUUCAGCCAGCUUCUCUUCAUCCCAUUGAACAAAAUACUGACGACAAGAUCCAGUUUUCAAUCUAUAGUAUCACAAUAAAUACUUUCCAGUAACAUAAAGUUGCAAAACAAAUUUAGUUUGUUAGUGUCUAAUAUUCUACUUUAGUUAAGGAACAACUUAACUUCACGCAUCCACCUCGAGGGGUAGACUCACAUUCAACGUCUCCCUCGCAGCUCAGAAUGUUUUGGGCUUUAUUUCUCUCUGAAACAAUCAGUUACACAUGAGCAGACCUACUGUCUGCUCACAUUGUUUGUGCAUGCAUCACCCACGUUGGUCCACCCACUCAUCCACUCUAUCUGCACAUCUACAAGAAACCUUCACUCUAAAACUCCAAGCAGGGCUUCGUCACCACAAGAACGCUUUCAUAAUUCUUCAUGAGAUAGAUAACAUCUCGGUAGAAGCUGCGCAAACAAAUCCAGAUCGAGCUUAGCAGGAGGGACAUUCAUCUACCAGCCCUUGACAGUCACUGCAGGUGCAGCGACGGCUAUCCGGAGUCACCGUUAAUGUUUGUAUGUCAGUAGAAAAGUUUUGAGUGCUGGUUUUAUGUUCAUGGCGUUGUACUUCUAGAGAAGGAACUGUUGUGUUGCCACACCCACAGCCUUGGCGCGUCCAUCACCACCAAUCUGUGUGUCAUCUGUGCCAAAAUCAACCCACUUGCAAUUAAAAGAUGAAGUUACAAAUCCUUGUUGUUGGACUACAUUUUUAAACUUGCUCUGCCAGUUCUCUCCCCUCCGUUGGCACGGCGCUGAAACAAAGUGAGCAGAAGGGACUGGCAGAGUAAGAACAACUAAAUCCGAUAGCGGCCCCCUUUGUCAGGGUUGAGUAGGAAGGCAGGACUCAAAUGCAGAGUUUUAAACUCCAACACAAAAAUGGCCAAGUGGCAAAAACACACGCAGGAACAGGGGGGGCAAAAAGGCAGACAGGAACAGGGGGGGCAAAAAGGCAGACAGGAACGAGGCACAUCCAGGACGAUAGACAAUGACGCGACAAGCGACAGGAGACACACACAGCUUAAAUACACUAGGGAGGUGCAGGUGAUUGGAGGUGGAAACAAUCAGACAAUCACAGGGGAUGACAGGACAAGGCAGGAAGUGAAGUUACCCAGGGAGACAAGAAGCAGAAAACUACAAAAUAAGACCGGAUAUAAAACCACACCGUGACACCCUUUGAGUGUAGUUUGAUGAAAUAAUAAUAAUUCGACAAUAUGUGGAUUCAGUAAAAUGACGUGCAUUCAUUGUAUACAUGUGUUGCUCAUGUGUCGUGUUUAGAAAAGCUUCAAGCUUCUACUUCAAUAUGAGGGCCGCGUUUAUCCGACAAAAAAUGCAUUAUUAACUUGUUAUUAACACUGCUGGCCGCAGUCAUAACACGCCAUGUUCUUUUUCGUUGCUGUGUUUCUUUUGGCCGCGUUCACCGACUUUUUCAGCGCUCGCGGGACAAUAACACAAAUGCACAUGGUGACGAGAGCCACGCCUGGGCUCCCGUUGGAGUUUUCGAGCAUCUGUUCAGGGUAAGUUCAGCCAAUACGGCGGGGUUGUGAAGUUUAUAUGCUCGACGCUCCAAGCCAAACCGCCGCCAUUCAAAACCCGGCCACAAUGCACGGGUUGGGUUGUGAACGCUGGAACUCUUCUCCGAAAGCUUGUUAGGAUUCGCCGCUUCCUCGCUCUCUUUUCUCCGAGCUGGUGGUUGACGGCUGCACCUCAACACCUUUCUGAGCAUAGCAGUCCAGAUGAAGUUUGAUCCGAGGGGAAAACGCUUCCUUACACCACAGAAGGAAAACAAAUCGCAGGGCAGGAAGUCAAACAAGGGAACUGUACCAAACUGACACGAUGGGAUAAACACCCGGGGAAGGCCUCGCCUUUGCCCCCCCCCUGGGUAAUCAUCCAGUAUUGCAGCUGAUUGGAAAAGUAAACCUAGUCGGUCCAGGGUGACUGAAGCAGCAAGCGCUGGCUUUUAAACCUCAAAACACGUUAUUUUGUAACUAAACAACAAUAAUUCCAAAGGUCUAAUAGUGAUGAAGAAAACCGGGAUUCUAUUAGUCUGAGUGGAUCAUUCUGAAAUAAUAUUCUUUAUUAUGUUAAUCUAUAGAAAUUCAGUAUUGGCUACAGUGUUAAAGCCUGUGGUGUUUAAGAGAGAAAUUAAAUAUAGCAAAGGAAAAAAUUUGCAAGGAAAGCAGUUGAGAGGUUUGAGUAGUUAACAUAGUUAGACAUCUGCUCGGAAAUCGCUUUGCCGGUUGUUUUUGGGCACAAUCCUGGGACCCCGGCGUGAAGCGUAGACGCGCUGAAGGCAUCACGUCUUCUCCGUCUGAGAAGGUUUUGAGUCUCAGGUGUAAUUAGACCACACAUUCACUGUUGGUCUCUUAUAAAGAGGUUUGUUGUGACAACCAGGAUGACUAACUACUCAAAUGAAGCCAACAUAAAGGUUAUUGAACGGGAUCAGAACACUAUUAUCAAGUAAGCAGAAUAUAUGACGUGUUGACGUAUUUAUUGACGUAAUUACUCUAAUCAAUGUCAAUGUCCUCCGAUUACUUCAUUCUUCUGACGUGUCUCCAAACACAGACAAGCUGUAUCUUCAGUGAGUAAUCGUAAAUUAUAUAAUGCAUCAUAAAUAUAAGCCUGACGUCUCCUCGCCGUGGAAAACGCCUCUGGCAGAUUUCCAGCUGCUGGGUUUCAAGUCUUUGCAGUACGUCUGACGGUGGAAAAAAGCAUGAAUAAUGGAAGACAGGUUGGUGGUUACUCAGAGCUAUGACUGUUACGCGCAUGCAUAUUUGUGGAGGCAGGUUUGUACGUGUCCUCCUCUUCUCAGUUUCGUUGAUUUAUUAAAUGCCGGCCUGUUUACUGCUUGCUCACCUGUUGAGAGGAGGACGGGGGGGGGGGGCUGAGGUUAAACUGUCCAUAACGCUGCAAUUAAAUAGAGUUACGAAUGCAGCUGGAGAGACAGGAGCUGGCGUGCAGCAUUUCUCGUUUAACAAAUAUAAAAAAGACUCCUGUGUUCAGCCUUUAUCGAUCGGGUUCUCGAAUAAAGUAAAUCUAUUGUUGCAGAUUGAUUAUAACAAGAAAACAAACACUAAAAUCGUUCCAAUUAUUGUUCAUUCACUGUAAAUUUAGCCUAUAUUCUUCCCCCGCUGUGGGUGGGGGAGGAAGGGAGCAGCCUGAGCUUCAGGCCAGUCCCGGCAGCAGCGUCGGCCUCACGUGGAUCACAGCAGAGCUCAUUCCUGAAGAUUACAGGCACCAUAACGCUCAAACGUGGCACUUUGUUUGUCAGGUUUGUCGCCUGGAUGCAAUGAGGCAAUUAAAAACAAAUCGUACCAGUGAGUCACUACAUUGGAUUCUGCUUUGCUGGUUGUUGACACAUGUUGCAAUCCAGGGACUUUUAAGUGGGCAUGUUUACAGGUUUAAUGUCGAAGUUAGACUGAUUUGGUUCAAGUUCGCAGUCACAUCGGACCGAACUGAGAUUGAAAACGCUUGGGUGAGUGCGUUUUGUCUGAAUAACAAAACAAUGCAGUUAAAUAUAAUGACUUCCCUGAAAGGAAGGUUUUUGCAUGCACACAUAAAGUUUUGUGCAUUCGGUGCUUUUCCGGGGUCUUUCCGAGUCGCAUUGUUCCAUAUGCAUGAAGCACAGCAGAAAGUCUCACUCAAAAGAAUUCCCUCCCGCUCUGCUCCCAACGUAGAAAACUCUUUAAAGGCUUCUGUUGGAGCGAGCAGCUUUUCAUGUAAAUGAGGAGGUGACACACACUGGAAAGCAGUCAGCUGACGAGAGGCGGGGCCAUGGGGGGGGGGGGGGGGGCGGUGGUAUUUAUAGCACCCCAGAGCUCUGUGUGAAAGAUGUCACACCUUCACGUCACCGUCUCCACCGCCCACCCGGCCUCACUAACAACCUGCUCCGGGCUGAGGAUGCAUGGAGGGAAGGGAGGAAGGAAGGAAGGGAGCAAGGCAGGUGGGGCACGUUACUGGCUCGCGCGUGGAGGGAAUCGAAAAACAAAGACGCAAACAACCGAGUUUAUCGAAUGUUUGAAAUUCUUCCCACCUGUCACGCGCUAAUCACAAGAGUCUUGUCGCUCGUCUCCGGCUGAGGAGCUUUGUGGUCGUGGCUGUUCUCGCCGUUUCUUCCGUGAAGCUCUGGAGUUGUUUGAUGGAUGAGAGGGCGGGAUGAUGAAGACAGGCCUGACAGCAGGGUGUGACUUAACACAUGGAUCUCUUGGCUGGGCUGGCGUUGUUCGCCGCUUUACAGGUCCCGUGCACACUUUUGAUGCACCAUUUGCGAAUUGAACCACCGACUGUGUGCGCAACACGACACAGAAACCGCAACGCGUGACUAACAUGGAAACAAAGCGACGUGACAUGUGAACAGUGAUCAAAACACAAGCACAUGAAGACACCACCCACAGACAAACAAACAUUUAGUUCUAGCUUUGUUCCAACAGUGAUAAGCACAAAACACUUUCGACAUUUUCAAUCAUCCCGUUUUUGACGGAGUUAUUUUUGGACCAAAUUGUCAUAUUUUGAACGUGUCUGUUGUGUAAAUCACGUCCCCCUGAAAAAAGGAACAAGCUUGUCAGGAAGUUAAGGCUUGAGAGAGAUCUAUUAUCUGAGGAAUCAUCCUGACACCAUUAAAUACACCACUAAUGUCCUCUUUAAACCUGGACAAUCUCAUAGACUCAAGAGAUAGAUGCAACUACAACAACAGAAGUCAACCACAAGCCUACUGAUACCAGCAAUAAUAUGCUGUUAGUUUGUGGGUUUUAACAUUACACAUCUCUCUGCCACAUAACGAUUCUCAAAGUAAAAACAAUCAUACCUGUCAAUUUGUUUUGAAAAAAGGAGUAACUUAUUUUUCCAGCAGGCUGCACUUGCAGGCGAGGAUUUAUCUCGGAUAGCAUCUUAUUUAAAUAAGCAAUUGUUGUGUCUAGCCAAAAAGAAAUUGCAUUCAGUGUUGUGUGUAAUGCUGCGUGUGUGUGUGUGUCUGUGUGGUAAGAGGAUGGGGGGGGGGCACAGAAAGCGUGCAAACCCUUCCACGACACAGGCACAAAAUGGUCGGCGAGAGUCGCUGGAAUUCAUCCCUGCGAGGGCGGAUGUGAUGACGGCGCUUAAAUCCAGUGCGCCGGGCGGACACGCACAUAUACGCUGUCGAGCUUGUGUAGAGCAUUUUGAAAUAGUGCACACACGCCAAGUCAGAGACGCUGGAGGACAGGGCUAAAGAAGCACCCGAGUAGACAAACCAUGGCUGUAACACUCAUAUGACGAAUAAGGCGAAUUGAAAUGUGCCCACAUUGCCGUUCUGUUACCAUUCCGUCCUUUACCGUCCGCCGUGUCUGCAAAACAGUCCAGUGAGAUGUGUUUGUCUGCGCGCAGGGUCCCGGUUCCUCAAAUGACCGGCUGAUGUCAGGAAGUGUGUGUGUGUGUGUGUGCGUGUGCUGGAGUGUGGACAUGAG